AACGAACGCUGGCGGCAGGCCUCACACAUGCAAGUCGAGCGCCCCGCAAGGGGAGCGGCGGACGGGUGAGUAACACGUGGGAAUUUUCCUCAAGGUACGGAACAGCUCAGGGAAACUUGGGCUAAUACCGUAUGAUGCAGCGAUGCCAAAGAUUUAUCGCCUUGGGAUAAGCCCGCGUCAGAUUAGGUAGUUGGCGGGGUAAUGGCCUACCAAGCCUGUGAUCUGUAGCUGGUCUGAGAGGACGAUCAGCCACAUUGGGACUGAGACACGGCCCAAACUCCGACGGGAGGCAGCAGUGGGGAAUUGUGCGCUAUGGGCGAAAGCCUGACGCAGCCAUGCCGCGUGAAUGAUGAAGGUCUUAGGAUUGUAAAGUUCUUUAGCCUGUGACGAUGAUGACGGUAACAGGAGAAUAAGCCCCGGCUAACUUCGUGCCAGCCGCCGCCGUAA
rnacentral:rRNA from 1 species